CACAAACAAUUUGGCUGUUCUGAAUGUGGUCGCAGAUUUAGACAAAAGGGCGCCCUGAAAAAACACAUGAUAAUUCAUACAAGACAAAAACGAUUUGUGUGUUCUGAAUGUGGUCAAAGAUUUUGUCAAAAGGGCGAACUGACAAAACACACACUUCACACAGGACACAAACAGUUUGGCUGUUUUGAAUGUGGUCACAGAUUUGGAGAUAAGCGCACCCUGAAAAGACACAUGAUAAUUCACACAGGACAAAAACCUUUUGGCUGUUCUGAAUGUGUCCAAAGAUUUGGACUAAA